CAGUAGCCGCGGGAAUACGUAGGUGGCAAGCGUUGUCCGGAAUUAUUGGGCGUAAAGCGUGCGCAGGCGGUUUGUUAAGACAGAUGUGAAAUCCCCGGGCUCAACCUGGGAACUGCAUUUGUGACUGGCAAGCUAGAGUAUGGCAGAGGGGGGUGGAAUUCCGCGUGUAGCAGUGAAAUGCGUAGAUAUGCGGAGGAACACCGAUGGCGAAGGCAGCCCCCUGGGCCAAUACUGACGCUCAUGCACGAAAGCGUGGGGAGCAUACAGGAUUAGAUACCCCAGUAGUCCCUGUCUCUUAUAC
rnacentral:rRNA from 1 species